rnacentral:sRNA from 1 species
CUGACAGCACCGGAGACUGAUGCCCUAUGUUUAUUCACAGAACAGAUACAGCACAGGCAGCAAUCUUGAUUUGGAUAUCUACCCCUACACUGAGGCUAUGUCUACACUACAGCCAGGAUCGAUCCUCUGAGAUCGAUCCACCAUCGGUCAAU